ensembl:snRNA U6 U6 spliceosomal RNA
GCUCGCUUCGGCAGCACAUGUACUAAAACUGGAAUGGUACAGAGAUUAGCAUGGUCUCUGCACAAGGAUGACAUGCAAAGUCGUGAAGCAUCCACCGUUUUG